CAACCCUCAGGCUCUUAGCUGGCCCGGCGUUGGGGCAUCUGCGACGAUCGCAGGCCCUGAAAGAUAGUGGCGGUACCCGCUAGCACUCCGGGCGUAGUAUAUUUAUUUCUCGCCUAGGACGUCCAGCGGGCUUGCCGGCCGUAAAACGUUCUAAUCUUCGGAAGG
rnacentral:misc_RNA from 1 species